rnacentral:lncRNA from 10 species
CGGACCGACACUGUCAGCUCCUAACGCCGCAGGUUCCUCCUGGUCCCCGAGGCCCCCGGUCGGGCGUUGCCUGCCCCGCGCGGGCGGCCGGGCCGAGGGACGAUGGUCAGUGGACGGACGGCGCCAGGGAGCAGUGCCCACGCGCGGCAGGGCGGUACCUUCAGGCCUCCAGGUGUCAUCGAACACCCUUGUGCUUGCUGUCACCCGCUGCCUGUCUGCAGGAUCCCGGAUUCCGUAUCAGGGGACCGAAAUUAGUCGGAAAAUAGGAAGCAGGUGCUCGCUUGGAUGGAACCCUGACCCUGUGCUCACACUUGUAGGAGGAGGGCUCUGCAGGCCGCCUCCCGGAACGGGAGGUUCCCAAGCCACUGCACUUCGGAGGGGCUGUAAUUAGAGUUGCACAUUCAUUCAGUUCCCAGUAAAGUAGAACGUGCUCCAGCCAGUGAGGAAAAGGUGUUUUUAAAAAUUAGAUUGGCCGAGUGCGGUGGCUCAUGCCUUUUACCUCAACACUUUGGGAGACAAAGGUGGGAGGAUCACCUGUGGCCAGGAGUUCAAGACCAGCCUGGGCAACAGAGCCUGUCUCUGGGGAAGAAUAAAAAAAAAAAUUGAGCCUUUGU